rnacentral:rRNA from 1 species
UACAGAGGUCUCAAGCGUUGUUCGGAUUCAUUGGGCGUAAAGGGUGCGUAGGUGGCGAGGCAAGUCUGGUGUGAAAUCCCGGGGCUCAACCUUGGGCUUGCAGUGGGUACGGGCAGACUAGAGUGCGGUAGGGGUGACUGGAAUUCCUGGUGUAGCGGUGAAAUGCGUAGAUAUCGAGAGGAACACCAGUGGCGAAGGCGGCUCACUGGACCGGAACUGACGCGUGAGGCG